rnacentral:pre_miRNA from 1 species
AUUAUACUCCCUCCGUCCCAUAUUAAGUAAUGGAAUAUUAGAUGUAUCUAGACGCUUUUGAGGUAUAGAUAUAUCCAUAUUUGAGCAAAUUUGAGUCACUUAAUAUGGUACGGAGGUAGUAUAUA